rnacentral:rRNA from 1 species
UAGGGAAUCUUCCACAAUGGACGAAAGUCUGAUGGAGCAACGCCGCGUGAGUGAAGAAGGGUUUCGGCUCGUAAAACUCUGUUGUUAAAGAAGAACGUGGGUAAGAGUAACUGUUUACCCAGUGACGGUAUUUAACCAGAAAGCCACGGCUAACUACGUGCCAGCC